AUUCCUUCGGGAAUGAGUAGAGUGGCGGACGGGUGAGUAACGCGUGGGAAUCUACCUGGUAGCGGGGGAUAACUCGGGGAAACUCGAGCUAAUACCGCAUACGCCCUACGGGGGAAAGGAGGGGAUCUUCGGACCUUUCACUAUCAGAUGAGCCCGCGUUAGAUUAGCUUGUUGGUGAGGUAAUGGCUCACCAAGGCGACGAUCUAUAGCUGGUCUGAGAGGAUGAUCAGCCACACUGGGACUGAGACACGGCCCAGACUCCUACGGGAGGCAGCAGUGGGGAAUAUUGCGCAAUGGGCGAAAGCCUGACGCAGCCAUGCCGCGUGUGUGAAGAAGGCCUUCGGGUUGUAAAGCACUUUCAAUAGGGAGGAAAACUUGUAGGUUAAUACCCUGCAAGCCUGACGUUACCUAUAGAAGAAGCACCGGCUAACUCCGUGCCAGCAGCCGCGGUAAUACGGAGGGUGCGAGCGUUAAUCGGAAUUACUGGGCGUAAAGCGCGCGUAGGCGGCUUCGUCAGUCAGAUGUGAAAGCCCCGGGCUCAACCUGGGAACUGCAUUUGAUACUGCGGAGCUAGAGUAUGGUAGAGGAUAGUGGAAUUCCAGGUGUAGCGGUGAAAUGCGUAGAUAUCUGGAGGAACAUCAGUGGCGAAG
rnacentral:rRNA from 1 species